GCCGGGACUUGCAAGGAAAGUCUAAAUCGGAGUUGGGGGUACUCCGGCAAGAUCCUCCGAUGCUCAAGUCAGUACUCUGCUUCAACAGAAAUGGAGCACUCGAAUGAAAUUUUAGUAGAGUUUAGAGAUAGUGCUUAGAGCUUAAGAACUUUUCGAGAGCUUGAGGAAGCUUGAGAAAACUUUAGAAAGCUUAAAAAAACUUUUCGAAACUGUUGCCUUA
rnacentral:lncRNA from 1 species